UCCAGUCUCAUCAGGGAGAUUCCAGAGAUUGAAGAUCAAGAUGUCUCACAAGACUCUCACGAACUGAGUUUGGUUGCUGCUCCUGAGAGGAAGACCCGUUCCCAGCUGGAGGGAGGUCCUCACAAAGAUCUCAUCACCAGCACCUGUGAGAAUCAUAGCAUCAGCCCCAGCGAUGUCCCGAGUUCCCCAAAAGGAGAUGUUAUCAAAGGAAAAUGGAAGCCCAGGAAAUGGGAACUGGCCUGCAGGUUCCCUGGCCUGGAGAUGAAGGCCAAACCACAGCCCACGGAAAGGAAAAUCGCAUGCCAAUUCCCUGGCCUGGAGAUAAAGGGCAAACCACAGACCAACAUGUGGGCACUGGCAUUCAGAUUCCUGGGCCUCCCUGCCUAGGAUCCAGAGAUCCCAAGUACAGUUGGAAGUAUAGAACAGUAUUGCUGAUUGUAACAUCCCCACCUCCUCAAAACAUCUAACACAGGAGCUCCGCUUCAACAGCAACCAGAACACCAAGAACGCAAUUUCAACCCCAUGAACUGCCCUCGGCUAUUUGUAUCCACCAGGCUGCUUCCCUGAGAGCUGGCACCGUCUUCCACCUCCAAUCCGAGCAAACACCUAAGGAGACCCAGGCCUGACUCCACAGCUGCUCCCGAGAGAACACCACCUGGCUCCUCUCCAACUGCCUCCUGUAGAGAUCUGGGGUCAGGAGGAGCUGGAAGCAAACAGCAUAGGACCCUGGGCACACACUGCCUUUGGAUGGGGCGAGCUCGGUGUGGGCAGUGUCAGAGACACAGCGCCCUGCGCACAAGGCUGUGUGUGAGCAGAGGAGAGGAUCGGACUCUGCAGGAUGUGGACCCUGGCCCAGACAGCUGGCCCUCUCCUUCACACAGCCAGCGUUCCGCAUAGAGGACAGCAGCAGGAGGAGACUUUGGGGCUCAAAAG